CUUUUUCUAAACUUCUUCUACAAUUCCAGAGACCUAAGCCGCAAUGAGCUGACGGCGGUCAGCCGACGAACCUUCCGCGGUCUCUCGGCCCUAAAAAGUCUACAUCUGGACGGAAACCAGCUCAAAUGCAUCGACGAAAAGGCGCUGGAGAAUUUGAAAAGCCUCGAAGUACUAACCCUAAACAACAACAACCUAACAUAUCUCUCGCUGGAGCCGGCGGCAGUCGCGAGACUACACACGCUGCGACUGACCGACAAUCCAGUCGUGUGCGAUUGUCGCGUCGCACGGUUGGCUAGCGCUGUGAAGAGUACGGGCAUUUUGGGAGUUGGAGCAAGAUGCCAAGCCCCCGCCACACUGAGAGGAGCUCUUCUGACGGACCUGGAGACGCACGAGUUAAUAUGCAGUGGACCAACAACAGCAAUCCCCGGCGAGUGCUCCGCGGAGCCCCGCUGCCCCCCACCCUGCCGCUGCACACCUGAGGGUACAGUCGACUGCAGAGAGAAACUUCUGUCGGAGUUACCUUCGACCAUCCCGCAUAGGGCUAC